AGCUUGCUGGGUGGAUUAGUGGCGAACGGGUGAGUAACACGUGAGUAACCUGCCCCUGACUUCGGGAUAACUACGAGAAAUCGUGGCUAAUACCGGAUAUGCACAUGUGCCUGCAUGGGUGUGUGUGGAAAGAUUUAUCGGUUGGGGAUGGGCUCGCGGCCUAUCAGCUUGUUGGUGGGGUGAUGGCCUACCAAGGCGACGACGGGUAGCCGGCCUGAGAGGGUGACCGGCCACACUGGGACUGAGACACGGCCCAGACUCCUACGGGAGGCAGCAGUGGGGAAUAUUGCACAAUGGGCGAAAGCCUGAUGCAGCGACGCCGCGUGAGGGAUGACGGCCUUCGGGUUGUAAACCUCUUUCAGUAGGGAAGAAGCUCUUCGGAGUGACGGUACCUGCAGAAGAAGCGCCGGCUAACUACGUGCCAGCAGCCGCGGUAAUACGUAGGGCGCAAGCGUUGUCCGGAAUUAUUGGGCGUAAAGAGCUCGUAGGCGGUUUGUCGCGUCUGCUGUGAAAACGCAAGGCUUAACCUUGCGCCUGCAGUGGGUACGGGCAGACUAGAGUGCGGUAGGGGAGACUGGAAUUCCUGGUGUAGCGGUGGAAUGCGCAGAUAUCAGGAGGAACACCGAUGGCGAAGGCAGGUCUCUGGGCCGUUACUGACGCUGAGGAGCGAAAGCAUGGGGAGCGAACAGGAUUAGAUACCCUGGUAGUCCAUGCCGUAAACGUUGGGCACUAGGUGUGGGAUCCAUUCCACGGGUUCCGUGCCGCAGCUAACGCAUUAAGUGCCCCGCCUGGGGAGUACGGCCGCAAGGCUAAAACUCAAAGGAAUUGACGGGGGCCCGCACAAGCGGCGGAGCAUGCGGAUUAAUUCGAUGCAACGCGAAGAACCUUACCAAGGCUUGACAUACACCGGAAAAGUGCAGAGAUGUGCUCCCCGUAAGGUCGGUGUACAGGUGGUGCAUGGUUGUCGUCAGCUCGUGUCGUGAGAUGUUGGGUUAAGUCCCGCAACGAGCGCAACCCUUGUCCUGUGUUGCCAGCGGGUUAUGCCGGGGACUCAUGGGAGACUGCCGGGGUCAACUCGGAGGAAGGUGGGGAUGACGUCAAAUCAUCAUGCCCCUUAUGUCUUGGGCUUCACGCAUGCUACAAUGGCCGGUACAAAGGGCUGCGAUACCGCGAGGUGGAGCGAAUCCCAAAAAGCCGGUCUCAGUUCGGAUUGGGGUCUGCAACUCGACCCCAUGAAGUCGGAGUCGCUAGUAAUCGCAGAUCAGCAACGCUGCGGUGAAUACGUUCUCGGGCCUUGUACACACCGCCCGUCACGUCAUGAAAGUCGGUAACACCCGAAGCC
rnacentral:rRNA from 1 species